UGUCCGUUCCCCCAUUUCAUAUUGAAGAAUUCAUAGCCUCCCUUCCCCCAUUUCUCCGUUCAUAGCCCCCAUAAAAGAAAUCACAAUUCAUCAAAGAUUUAAUCAAAUCAUCCGUCUCUUUUCUCUCAACAUUUGUGUCAUUGCUCUGUUUCUUCAUCAAAGAAGAAGUGAGAUUCUUGGGCACACCCUUUUCCGCAAUUCCCUUUUAACCAUUUGCAGAGAUGUUCUUGGCUCCAGAGGUAGAUUCCGGCGAUGAAUUCGCCGUCGUGUUAGCUGGUUCGGAAAGUUUUGUGGCCGGAAUUGUGGUCUGAUUCGGCUUCAAGACUUCAACUUUAUCUUGAAUUUGAGUCUGAUUUUGCUUCGAUACUUGUCGCCACAAGUCACCAACCGUUGGGAAACCUCGUGGGCUGUAGGUGCUCCGUCACUUCCAAUUGAAGCGCCGACGGCGGUGAAGUUAGGGGAACUGAAGAAGAAAGCUGAGUGCUAUGGGGUUUUCUGUCUCACUUAUGAUCUCAAAGCUGUGAGUUGUUAAUUGCACACACUGCACUCGACAUAAUCCUCAUGUGUUUUUCCACUGUUUCUUUUUAUGUUAGACUUAAUUGUUUGUUUACGAGGUUUUUGAGAGCUAGAAUUAGUAGUUUUGAGUAUGUAAUUGAACUAGUUCAAUUGGUUAACAUUGCUUUCUCUGGUGCUGCGGGGAUGAUAUCCAAUCAUCUUCUCUUCAAAGUAAGAAUCUGUGGAAAUUGCUGCUAA